AGCGAACAUUGGCGGUAGGCUUAACACAUGCAAGUCGAGCGAGGCUAAGAGCCGAGCGGCGAACGGGUGAGUAAUACGUUGAAAUCUACCCUGGAGUGGGGAAUAACCAGCAGAAAUGCUGGCUAAUGCCGCAUAAUCCAUAUUGGGAAAGCGCUUAGCGCUAUAGGAUGAGUCAACGGCCGAUUAGCUAGUUGGUGGGGUAAAGGCCCACCAAGGCGACGAUCGGUAGCUGGACUGAGAGCAUGAUCAGCCACACUGAACCUGAGACACGGUCCAGACACCUACAGAAGGCAGCAGUGGGGAAUCUUGCGCAAUGGGGGCAACCCUGACGCAGCCAUACCGCGUGCGCGAUGACGGCCCUCGGGUUGUAAAGCGCUUUUGGCGGGGACGACGAUGACGGUACCCGCAGAAUAAGUCACGGCUAACUUCGUGCCAGCCGCCGCGGUAA
rnacentral:rRNA from 1 species